UGAUCUCACAGAAAAAUAGCAAAGAUCAGCAAACAUUGCCUCGGAACCUGGAUACCCCCUCCCCCUUAUCCACCUUUACUUUCAAAUUAGGCACAUCUUUUGAGGAGCCCACGUGACAAUCAGUGUAAAAUAGUCAAACUGUGAUGAAUCCUUUGAAUACUGAACUUGAAUAUAGUAGAGCGGAUGCGAGUGUUCAUAUAGCAGAACCCCAAGGAAUUUGUAGCGGUGUCAUAGUUGAUUGUUGUGAAUAAGACUCAAACUGAGUGAAAUGCAUUUUGGUGACAUAAGAAAGUGACUGAACUGGAGAACAUCAUUGCCAUAUUAAGAAGAAGAUUUUUAACUGAAAAUGUCCUGGUCAACAAUAUCUCUAGCUAAGUCUUUUCUUCCUUCAACUAUUUCUUGCAUCCCAACAAAAAAGCAAGCUGACAAUCACCUGAAGCGAAUUACUCAAUGAUAGGACUCUAUGAUAUUAUGUAUAUUGUGCUAAUUUUAGAGUUAGAAAUGGAUAUUGAAAAUUAUUUCUUUGUGCUUGUUUUGUGUGAAUUUUGCAGGAGAACCUCUGGUCCAAUUAGGAGAGCAAAGGGUGGUUGGACUCCUGAGUAGGUGAAUAGAAUUCCUUAUAUUUCCAGCAAGUUAACCUAAUAGCUUAAAAUAUCCACUGUCAAGUUUUCGACAGUGGAUACUACUGGUUGUUUUUGUUAAAUGUAGAAGACUGGAAAAGUUUGUUUUUGGCGUAAUAUGUUGGGCGUGUUAAAUUUCUGAUGCUUCUACCCCCAUGUAUAAUUGUUAUUGUACACCAGUUUGAAUUUCUUUAUAAUUGCUUCUUUUCUUUUAAAUGGCAAGUUCAGCUUCUAGUUUUGCUUCUUGGAAUUAUGGCUUGAUUAGAUACAAAAUCUUCCCUUUCACCGGAUGAUACUUUGAAAAGGGCUGUCGCAGUUUUCAGAGGGAAAUGUUGGAAAAAAAUAGGUAUUAUUUAGCUAGUCUCUUUGUUAGUUAGCAAUUAUGAAUUAACCAAUCUUGUGGCAACUUGUUUCACCUUGACAUGGGCAGAUGUUUCAAAACUGAUAGGUGUCCGAUGUGGAAAUAUUGACAUUCACUGUAUUUGAUCAUUGCUGUGGUCUUAUCAUGAAUAUAUUACCAUUUACACUUUGCUGAAUGUCUGUUGGGUCCUGUAAUGCUCUUGGUGCAUCUUUAAUGACAAGCCAAGUCAAUGUAUUCGUGUAUGUUAUUACGUAUAUAUUCCGUUUUGCUUAGGUAUAGGCAUUUGUUUCUGCAAUUUGGAUAUCAUUAGUCAUCCUCUUCUUCUUCAUGCUUUUCUUUUCAAGUGAGAUGUUAGCUUUAAUGUGGAAUUUUGAAUUUGGAGAUAACAAAGGCUGGAAAAUAUCGAAACUCUUCAAAAUAGAUUUUCCAAACUUAGUUUUAUUAGUUGGUAUUAGGAAAUUAUAGCCUUGUCCUAUCAAAGGGUACUUUAACUUUGGUAAACUUUGAAGUCUUAAUUCUGUUGACAAAUAUUUAAGUCAGUCUACGUGGCUAUCAUCUUAUCUAUCAUUUCCUGUUAUUGGAUUCAUGUGGUAACAUAAAAAUGUGACUUUUGGUCAAAAUAUUGAUUCACAUGCACUGAGUUCUUCCCGGAUAGAUCUGAAGUGCAAUGCCUGCAUCGAUGGCAAAAGGUUCUCAAUCCGGAUCUUGUCAAAGGACCAUGGACUCGGGAGGUUUGUUUGCUUUCCUACUUUAGUUUCCUUCUG
rnacentral:lncRNA from 1 species